AGAUUAUCUAAAGGCUGGAGAACAAGAUUUGUACACUGCAUCUAAACAUAGGAAUUUUGACCCACCCUCCAUCAAGAACAAGCAUAAACCCAGAUGUGGUAUAAUCCCCCACACAAGAGGCUGAGAGGCAAGAAGAUCCUGAGCUUGAGGUCAACCUUGGAAACAGAGAGUUCGAGGAAAUCUUGGGAUGUGUAGUGAGACCCUGUCUUGUUUCAGAGACGGGCUGCAUAAAACUCCAUGUUCAAUCCUUAGUGCCACCUAAACUGGAUGUGGAGCUAUGAUCCCAGCAUUCAAGAAGAAAAGGUAGGAAGACAAGAAGUUUAAAGUCAUCCUCAACUAGAUAGCAAACUUGAGACCAGCCUGGGAUACACAAGAGCCUUCCCACAGAAAGAUGACAAGGAAGAGAUUCAUUUCAUGUGAACAAAGUUAAAGUAUUUUUUUAUUUGGGAUUAUUGGUAGGUUACCAUAUGUUGUGGCACACUUGUUUUAUUCUUUAAAAAUUCUAUGAUUACUUAAAGUACAGCACCUUUAAAAGACAUAUUUCCUAAUUUGAGUUGAUAGUUAAUUUUCAAAACUUGAUAGACUAGUGAGCUUCUGAGAGACAAUGACUCUUUAACCUAGUUCACCUUACAUUUGUCAGCCAAGAGGUCUUUCUGUAGAAGAUCCUCAGAAAGAUUGAUGCUUUGUGUCUGACAGAAUUGGAAUAUUGUGUUCAAAGAUAUCGACACAAAAUGGAAGUCUAUGUUUGCACAUACACAUGUACUCAAAGAGGUACCCUCUACACAUUGGAGAGUGCUUCUUGCUUUCAUGAAAGGCUGGUAAGAGGGAAUAUGUUAGGGCUGGGGAGAAGGCUCAAAGGUCAAGGGCACUGCCUGUUUUUAUCUAGAAGACAAGAGGCAUAGGCAUGUUUAGAGGCAGGUAGAUCUGACUAGGAGUUUGAUUCCCAGAAGCCAUAUGGCAGUGCAUGGCCAUCUGUAACUCUAGUUCCAAGGGCUCUGACACACACUUCUGGCCUCCUAAAGCACUAGACAUGUACAUAGUACACAGACAUAUGUGUAAACAGAGCACCACACACAUGAAGUAAAAUAAUUUUAAAUUUUUUGAAAUACACAGUGAGUUCUAAGUUUAUCUGGAAACCUUAGGGUUAGAAAGUACAUCCUGACCACCGUAUUCAUGAAGAAAAUCUUUAGCACUAAGGGAAGUAUGAUAAGAGACAAGAUGCUCUUUUAAGUUGUCUGCCUCCCAGUCCUAAGUCUCUGUGAUGGACUUCAUUAAUCGGGAGCAGGAGUGAAUGAAAAGGUGGUUCCCCAAUCUAAAUCUGACCUAUCAUGGAAUAAUAAUGUAA
rnacentral:lncRNA from 1 species